AAGAUUCCGGCGAUUAAAGUCCACCGGUGGUAAAAUAUUACCCAAAUCUACACUCCUUGACUCGUUUUGGGGCAUUUAAUUUAGGAGCAUCAAUGACGAAGAGAGACAGACCCUUCAAGAGUCAACGAACACAUACUGAAGAGAAGCGGCUAAGAUCAG